rnacentral:rRNA from 1 species
UACGGGGGGGGCAAGCGUUGUUCGGAAUUACUGGGCGUAAAGGGCUCGUAGGUGGCCAACUAAGUCGGACGUGAAAUCCCUCGGCUUAACCGGGGAACUGCGUCCGAUACUGGUUGGCUUGAGUUUGGGAGAGGGAUGCGGAAUUCCAGGUGUAGCGGUGAAAUGCGUAGAUAUCUGGAGGAACACCGGUGGCGAAGGCGGCAUCCUGGACCGGUAUUGACGCUGAGGAGCGAAAGCCAGGGGAGCAAACGGG